GCAGUUUCCUGAUAAGUGUGUUUCCGGCUUUUGAAGUUAUGUCUGCCGAAAACCACAUCUGGUUCACCGCCGCCUCAACAGACACACAAUGAAAUACAAAAGGCUAAUUCUGCUGUGUACGCAAUCCAUGUUUCUUUCCCCAGAGGAUUCCAGAUGGAGUGAACUCAGUAGAGGCGGUGCUUCGACGGCUGAUGAUCUUGCGGAGAGGAGAGAGGAGCAUUAGUUACGGUUUUAAGUCCCGGCUGAACUGGCAGGGGUUACAUGACCUCAGACUCAGGGCCUUGUUAAGGAUGUGCAUGCUUCUCCUUUGCCUUCCACCGUGAUUGUAAGUUUCCUGAGGCCUUCCCAGCAAUGCAGAACCGGCUCACCGGCAGCUGUUCUCCCCAUCCGUGUGCAGGGACGUCUCGGCCCGUCGAAGACCCAGGCGGGCAAAGGAGUGGUACAAGGACUGAGGCAACUGAGUAAACUGGGAAGCCCCCUGAUCGUAAGUACCCUUGGUGUUAUUCUAAACAUCUCAUUGCCAGUCUGCUUCAGGAAACCUCUCUGUGGUGGGGAGCACAGCUUAGCACUGUAGAGAGUUAGACCACCUGAAUUCAAAUCCUCAUUUGGCUACCGUCUAGCUGUGCAGGUCAAGUUACUCAAACUCUCUGGGCCUCAGCAUCCUUAAAAUGGGUUACUAGCAUAGUGUCUAGCACAUAGUGUAGGCUGCUCUUUGAUUAUUAUCACCAGCCCCUUGUUACCAGGAACCCAUCUAGGGGCAGAACAAACUCCUUUCUCUGCCUGCGAUUCCGACCAUAGCUGGAUCUUCUAACAAACAGGGCACGUUACCAUAUUAUUCUUUCUCUCCAAGUUCUUCGCGCAAGAACUCUGAGUUCCUUACAGGCAGCAGUGUCUUGACUCUAGAUCUUGGGGGAUAUUCUUAAUCUCUGCUUGCUGUGAACACAUGAGGCACUCCUUGUCAGAGGCUACAAUGUCCCCAGGAUGCCGGGCUAGGAUACAAAUGCUUGUGCCUGGGGGAGUGCAGGGCUCUGGGAAUCAGCACGUGGAGGUUUUGUGCUCUAAGUGAUGAAGAUUCUCUGCGAUUAGGGCAGUGAGGGACGGGUCCUCUCCAAACAUGGGAAUUCAUUGAAUAGGUCAAACAAACAUUCCCCUGCAACCCUCUUUCGGCUCAGCAUAUCCUUUCUGCAGGGAAGAUGUGAGUUUAGGCAGCCCCCUGUCUGCCAGCUUAAGGUGGCUGGAGCUGCUGUGUGGGAACCUUAAGGGGAAUACGAACGACAGAAAACCUGCAGUGUACUCUGCAUUCAUACAGGCACAAAAACCAGGAAGGCAGCAGGGACUGCUGGAAAAAAACCCCACUUGGAACACCCCUCCAUGCCUUCGUUUCCUUACCUGAACAAUAAAAGUGAUGUCUGCCCCAGUAAAGCCAAUGCCCACACAGCCCGGCACAGAGGAGAUCAAACACAAACAAACAGCAUCCCGCUCCACAUCAAGGGCACCUUGGCUGGGUUAUGAGCCUGGCAUUGUGUCCCUGCCUUCCUGUGUUAGUGGUUUGGGAAGUAGCAUACCGUCUCUACACGGUGGCUCUAGUGACCUCAGAGUGAUUCGCUUAACCAUUCAGUGGCACUCAUAUUUGUGCUCUCUGCUGCUAGGUGUGGGGAGGGCUGGAGGAAGAAGCCACCAUGCUGGCUUGGAGGGAGCAGAGCAGGAAGGGGUGCCCAUCUUGGGGCCAAGCACUCUCAGGGCUCAUGCCAGGUUUGGGCACCAUGUGAUAAGAUGACCUGCAGGUCUGGCCUUGGAUUUCUGCAGAGGUUUGUUGGGAAGGCAUCACUUAGGAGGCUGGCAGACCAUGAGAAAGUCUCACCUGGAAGCGGUGGAAGUCCUGCGGCUUGAAGUCAUUGGGGGAGCAGCCGCACCAGUCCACGAUGUGCUUGUACUGGCACUUGCAGCCCAGCUUGCGAUUCCAGUUGGUGAUGCGCAGGUUGUUGUCCACCAUGGUGUCGCAGUGGGGGCUGUUCUCCAGGACCGUAUGGAAGAAGGACUGCAGGGGAGAGAGGGACCCAGCCUGAGACCUCUCCCAGCCUCCCACAGAUGAACUGGGGUGGGAAAUGGUGAACCCUUGCUCUGAGUUCAUGUAAGAACUGGUUGUUUAAAAGAAUGUGGCAUCUCAUCAGAAGCUGGGCGGCUUCCUGUACAGCUUGCAGAACUGCAAGCCAAAUAAACCUCUUUUCUUUAUAAAUUACCAAGCCUCAGAUUUUCCUUCAUAGCAAUGCAAAAAUGUAUAACACAACUACCUGACUGUCAAGGGACUCUUAUGUUCUCUGCAUGCAUUUGAGGUCAGCUGCCCAUGUGGUCCAACUCAGAGCGCAGGCGGAUGCUCUGUCCAACAGACAAAUCAAAGGGAUUCAAGUCUGACUGACUGACUGGUGUGCUGGAAUUUCACCCCUGGGGUAGGGAGACCAGAUUGAUGGUUGCAUUAGACCCAG
rnacentral:lncRNA from 10 species